GACGAACGCUGGCGGCAGGCCUAACACAUGCAAGUCGAGCGGACCUUUCGGGGUCAGCGGCGGACGGGUGAGUAACGCGUGGGAAUAUGCCCUUCUCUACGGAAUAGUCCUGGGAAACUGGGGGUAAUACCGUAUACGCCCUUUGGGGGAAAGAUUUAUCGGGGAAGGAUUAGCCCGCGUUGGAUUAGGUAGUUGGUGGGGUAAUGGCCUACCAAGCCGACGAUCCAUAGCUGGUUUGAGAGGAUGAUCAGCCACACUGGGACUGAGACACGGCCCAGACUCCUACGGGAGGCAGCAGUGGGGAAUCUUAGACAAUGGGGGCAACCCUGAUCUAGCCAUGCCGCGUGAGUGAUGAAGGCCUUAGGGUUGUAAAGCUCUUUCAGCUGGGAAGAUAAUGACGGUACCAGCAGAAGAAGCCCCGGCUUACUCCGUG
rnacentral:rRNA from 1 species